rnacentral:rRNA from 1 species
UACGUAGGUGGCAAGCGUUAUCCGGAAUUAUUGGGCGUAAAGAGCGCGCAGGUGGUUAAUUAAGUCUGAUGUGAAAGCCCACGGCUUAACCGUGGAGGGUCAUUGGAAACUGGUUGACUUGAGUGUAGAAGAGGGAAGUGGAAUUCCAUGUGUAGCGGUGAAAUGCGUAGAGAUAUGGAGGAACACCAGUGGCGAAGGCGGCUUCCUGGCCUGCAACUGACACUGAGGCGCGAAAGCGUGGGGAGCAAACAGG